AGAGUUUGAUCCUGGCUCAGGAUGAACGCUAGCGGCAGGCUUAACACAUGCAAGUCGAGGGGCAGCGGGGAGGAAGCUUGCUUUCUCCGCCGGCGACCGGCGCACGGGUGAGUAACACGUAUGCAACCUGCCUGCCACAGCCGGAUAAUCGGGAGAAAUUCCGUCUAAUACGGCAUAAUGCACCUAUGGGACAUCCUGUUGGUGCCAAAGGUUGAUUCCGGUGGCGGAUGGGCAUGCGUCGCAUUAGUUAGUUGGCGGUGUAACGGACCACCAAGACGACGAUGCGUAGGGGUUCUGAGAGGAAGGUCCCCCACACUGGUACUGAGACACCGACCAGACUCCUACGGGAGGCAGCAGUGAGGAAUAUUGGUCAAUGGGCGGGAGCCUGAACCAGCCAAGUCGCGUGAGGGAUGACGGCCCUAUGGGUUGUAAACCUCUUUUGCCGGGGAGCAAAGUGCCGCACGUGUGCGGUUUGGAGAGUACCCGGAGAAAAAGCAUCGGCUAACUCCGUGCCAGCAGCCGCGGUAAUACGGAGGAUGCGAGCGUUAUCCGGAUUUAUUGGGUUUAAAGGGUGCGUAGGCGGGCAUUUAAGCCGGCGGUCAAAUGUCGGGGCUCAACCCCGGCCUGCCGUCGGAACUGGGUGCCUUGAGUGGGCGAGAAGUAUGCGGAAUGCGUGGUGUAGCGGUGAAAUGCAUAGAUAUCACGCAGAACCCCGAUUGCGAAGGCAGCAUACCGGCGCCCUACUGACGCUGAGGCACGAAAGUGCGGGUAUCGAACAGGAUUAGAUACCCUGGUAGUCCGCACAGUAAACGAUGGAUGCUAUCUGUCCGGGCUGAAUGAGGCCUGGGUGGCACAGCGAAAGCGUUAAGCAUCCCACCUGGGGAGUACGCCGGCAACGGUGAAACUCAAAGGAAUUGACGGGGGCCCGCACAAGCGGAGGAACAUGUGGUUUAAUUCAAUGAUACGCGAGGAACCUUACCCGGGCUCAAACGCAGGAGGGAUGUUUUUGAAAGGAGGCAGCCAGCAAUGGUCUCCUGCGAGGUGCUGCAUGGUUGUCGUCAGCUCGUGCCGUGAGGUGUCGGCUUAAGUGCCAUAACGAGCGCAACCCCUACCUACAGUUGCCAUCGCGUGAUGGCGGGCACUCUGUGGGGACUGCCUGCGCAAGCAGUGAGGAAGGCGGGGAUGACGUCAAAUCAGCACGGCCCUUACGUCCGGGGCGACACACGUGUUACAAUGGCAGGUACAGCGGGAAGCCACCCGGCGACGGGGCGCGGAACCUGAAAACCUGUUUCAGUUCGGAUCGGAGUCUGCAACCCGACUCCGUGAAGCUGGAUUCGCUAGUAAUCGCGCAUCAGCCAUGGCGCGGUGAAUACGUUCCCGGGCCUUGCACUCACCGCCCGUCA
rnacentral:rRNA from 1 species